AGAUGUAUUCAAGCUUUUAUGACGCAGUUUCAAACAUCUUUGAUUGCGAUCGCUUGCAAUGACAUCGUUUUCAGGUUUGAAGUCAUGGCUAACUGUCUUUUAGGUACUGAAGCCACCUAAAAGAGAAAUCCUCUUUCUUGACCCAUUACACACAAAGGCAGGAUUUGGUGGCCAACAAUAUGUUUCACUUUUGAGGUCACAUUUUUAUAAGCAUUUUUGGUUUGUUCCAGAAUAUUCGGGAACCUGUUCAGUGUUCCAGGUUAAGUGCAUGAUCAUGUUCUGCUGAUCUUGAGUGUUCACACAUACAGUACACUCACAUGCUUUUUUAUAAACUAUAUCAGCACGAUGCUUCAACAUUUUAUUCUAUUUCUCAUCUUCACAUUCUAAUCAAGUUAGUGAUGCUGUCUUUAGAUGAGUUUUAGACAUAAAUAGGGUCUUCAAACGUUUUAGUUUAACAUAAAACACCAUUAAAUAUUAGUUUAUAAAAUAUGCCAACCUCAAAUUAAAGCUGAAAAUGCUUUAUUUUGACCAGCUGUGAGCAUGUGACUGUACUUUUUCAUUUUGUUAUGCUGUUUUGUUGAGGUCAUGUUCCUAAGACCUGUAGUUACAGUUGGUGCUAUUAGCAAUAAACAUUUCACACCCAUCAUGAUGAUGUCUGUUAACUUGUGAAUGUAACUGUCUUGAAAAAAAGGAAUCUUGCAGUGAAGCUCAUUCCCGGGCAGUGGUCAGCAAAAAAGAGCUUUGACUUGAAGGGUUUUCCAAGCCAAGACUACGGAGUUGACUGUGGGAUCUUCAUGCUGAUGUCUGCUCUGUACGUGGCACUGGAUGCACCAUUUGACUAUACAAUAUCAGACAUGCCCUACUUGCGUAAAUGGUGGUGCUUGCUGUUGAUGGAGAACUUUGAUCUCAAGAGCUAUUUGCACACUGGAGAGAGGAAGCCAAAGCUGUGCUUGAAGGACAACACGUGCCCAUUUUCAGACUGAAAAAGCGCAAGUUCCAGGAAGUCAGUCAGGAGCCAGCAGUUGUUGAAGAUCUGCGUCCUGCUGUGCAGUGGGUUGUCCAAAAUAAGGCACUUUUCCGUGGACACGUAACAAUGCCAAAAUAUCUGUCCUUAAAUCAAGGGGACCAGCAGAGGGUCUUAAGAGACAUGUCAGAGGAAGAAGACACUGGAGCAGCAAGGGACAUGUUCCUCUUUGUUUUUCAGUUUGCAGAGGACAUGGAGCUCUUUUUGAAAGCAUGUGCUGAUGAGCAGGGACUAAGGGUCAGUGCUAUGUUUGACAUGUAAUGGACAAAUGAAGGCACUGACUGUGUUUGUUUGUUUAAUAUGUCGUUGUUGUUUUUGUUUUGUUUUUUUAUAGUACAAAAUUCCAAUUAAACUUAUUUCAAAAUGUUGUUCACUUGAUUCUAUGUCCAUACUUAUAAGAAAGGAUUACAGUGUAACAGCAUUAAAUGUAAAUGUAACAGCAUUUUUUAUACUUGUAAUUUCAAAAUAAAAAGCUAAUUGUUGAUAUUAACAGUAAAGUUUUUUUUGACUGCUGCACUGCAGUGGACCAAAAGAAUGACACGGGUUUGAUCUUAAGGAUCUAAUAGUUGUGUGUGUUGUGCAUGACAUUGCCACACAAAUAUGUAUUUGCAAGAUAGAGUAGAAUAAAUUAUGACGCAUCAAAUAUUACAUAGACUGCAGUGAAUUUCUGUU